CUGCAAUGGGUACCGUUGUCCGGGAUCCAGAGUUGGCCAGGCAGGGGUUUCGUGUAAGAUGAUGUUAACGUGUUGGACUUGCCACCUAGCUAUCAUUAUGGAACGUAUGGGGAGGAUGUCUGUGAUUGGAGAAAUCUUGUCAUUCAUUUUGACUUGAUAGUAUGGAGCAAUUGAACCCACGUGGUGUUUGGUGACCAAUGAUAUCACAUUCCCAACAGGAACUUGAAUGCCUGAGUAUCGGAUGGCCUUCACUUGUCCGAGUGGUUGUGUCGGAACAUUUUUUUUGUCUUUUGGGCAAAAUAGAUGGAGGAGAUGGACGAUCUGGUAAGACUCAGAGUUGAGAUGGAGGUUGUUCUGGUAGUGUUCUUACGAGAGAGACAGCAAAAGAUCGAAAGGUUACUAUGAUUAAGUCCGAAAGGAGGAGUGAUGAACUUGCUGUUAACUUUAGCUAUCCAUGCUCCACAACCCAUCGGGAGAUUAAUAAUUUGUUAAUAUAUUGUG